GAUAUAUCAAAACAUGGUCAUGGAAGAGAUGAUUACCUAAUGGAAAAUAGGAGUGAAAUGGAAUCUGAUAUGUGAUGAAGCUUUUCCUUCUUGCCACUAAAUUCCAAUUCUCAUUUAUGGUUAGGGUUUCAGCUUCUUAAAUAGGGUGGAUUAGGUGUUCUCAUGGGCUUUUUAAUAAGUGAUUUAUCCAUAACAAUAAAAGUGUGAAGUGAGGUGUAAAAUGUUGUUAUUUUGGGUCAAAC
rnacentral:lncRNA from 1 species